CUACUCACAAGAGAGUUAGGGGAUUUGAUUAAUCUGGGCCAUACGCCCGGUUUAGGUGUGUUUUGCUCCGGGUCAAAGUUGAUUGCAUUCAUUUUGGAACCUCCUCCUGGGCGUGAUCCAGGUGCCCAGUUCAAAGCCCACGGAGAAGUCGGCUCAAAACCAAAGUUGCGUAAAUUAACACGUGGAAUAACGAGUAGGAUUCUGUGUUUUUACAUGCAAAAGUGAUUCCUUUUGAUUAAAAAAAAGUGUUUUAACUGCCUUCCCAAUGAAAACUAGUUUGAAAAUUCUAACAUAUUUGAUGGAAAAAGGUGUGGUACGCUUCUGGAUUGCACCGUGCUGCCUUGUUGACAAACAGGACAAAGCGGCGCAUAUUACUCUUCAAUGUUCGUGUCACUUGCCAUAGACCGGUGCCCCGCGGCUAAGCAUAAUCAACUCUGCUCUUUUACUUUGCUUGUCGUGCGUAAACAAGGAAAUGAACAAGAACCAGAUGGAGGUCGUGUACAUUCUUUGCUCAUGUCGGGGAAACGCAAAGUAAUUCUUAGAGAGAGAAAGAGAUAAUAUGACAUUUGAAAUGUCUUUAUUUUCUUGGAACUUCUGUGAGUGUAAUGUUUACUGUUAAUUUGUAUUGUUUAUUUCACUUUUGUUUAUUAUCUAUUUCACUUGCUUUGGCAAUGUUACAGUUUUUCUCAAUUGCUAAAACACUAAAAACCCAUUGGCUGAACAAAGUUCUCAGUUGCCUGAACUCAUUUAGCUAAGUAUGCAGUCUGUUGUCAAUACCUUAAACCAUUUCACAUGGUAAAACACAAUUUGCAGAUCUCACUUAGACUUUUCAGCAAAACUCUAAACACGUUCUCAUUCUCAAAACACAUUCUGCACUAUAAUGCACAUGUCAUCCAUACUAGUUAUCACAAGUGGCAACAAUCAAAUACAAAUAGAGAACAAAUGUCAAUGAUUGAACACAACCACUCAAAAUUGAUUUGACCUGUUUCAAAUGAUGUGACACAACCAAUAUAAGCCAGUUCAGAGAGCAAACAGGUUGUUGAUGGUGGGAAUGAGAAAGUCUGAGAAUGGAUAGAAGAAACAAUGUGAGAGGACGAGGAUGAGUGCAUAUGUGAGGUGGGCGACAAGGAGGAAGAGGAGGAGGAGGGCAAGAAAUAGGAAGAGGAGGAAGAGGAAGAGGAAGACAAAGAGUGGAAAUAUCUGAUGAAAUUCGAGCAACAAUUAUAGACCAUGUUCUUGUCCAUAGACUGACAAUGAGGGAAGCAGGACUUAAAGUGCAACCCAAUUUGAGCCGAUUUUCUGUGUCUACCAUUGUAAGGACAUUCAGAGAAGAGAACAGAAUUGCAAGGCUGCCACAUGCAGGUGGAAUGACAGCUAUAUUCACUCGGGAGCAAGAGGCCAUUAUAGUUGGCAUGGUCCUUCAAGAUAAUGCAAUACGACUCCAGGAACGAGUGAUACAAGACAACACACACUUCCAGGGAAUCGACAGUGUGAGCAUUUCCACAAUUGACCGUGUCCUCCAUUGUAACAGGAUGCGAAUGAAACAAGUAUACAGAGUGCCUUAUGAGCGCAACUCACCAAGGGUGAAAGAACUGCGAGCUCAGUAUGUGCAAAGGACCUGAGCCCUAGGACCAUGCCUCAGGACUACCUGGCAUGAUGACUCCAAGCUGUCCCCAGUCCAUCUGGCCGGACUGCUGCUCCAGUAUCAACUGUUCUGCCUGCAGCUAUGGAAUCCUGACCUGCUCACCGGACGUGCUACCUGUCCCAGACCUAUUAUUUGACCAUGCUGGUCAUUUAUGAACAUUUGUACAUCUUGGACAUGUUCUGUUAUAAUCUCCACCCAGCACAGCCAGAAGAGGACUGGCCACCCCUCAUAGCCUGGUUCCUCUCUAGGUUUCUUCCUAGGUUUUGGCCUUUCUAGGGAGUUUUUCCUAGCCAACAUGCUUCAACACCUGCAUUGCUUGCUGUUUGGGGUUUUAGGCUGGGUUUCUGUACAGCACUUUGAGAUAUCAGCUGAUGUACGAAGGGCUAUAUAAAUACAUUUGAUUUGAUUUGUAUAAUGCAUGGCUGUGUGCUCUACUUUAUACACCUGUCAGCAAUCCACUAACAUAAAGAGUUGUCCACAUACUUUUGUAUUCAGUGCAGUCAGAAAGUAUUCAGACCCCUUGUCUUUUUCCACAUUUUGUUACAUUACAGCCUUAUUCAAAACUGGAUUGAUAAUGUUUUUCCUUUAAUCUAUACACAAUUCCCCAUGAAGACAAAGCAAAAACAGCGUUUUAGAUCAAGUUUAAUUUAAAAAAUAAAAUAAUGAAAUAUUACAUUUACUUAGGUUGUCAGUCCCUUUACUCAGUACUUUGUUGAAGCACCUUUGGCAGCGAUUACAGCCUUGAAUCUUCUUUGGUAUGACGCUACAAGCUUGGCACACCUGUAUUCGGAGAGUUUCUCCCAUUCUUCUCUGCAGAUCCUCUCUGUCAGGUUGGAUGGAGAGUGUAGCUGCACAGCUAUUUUCUGGUCUCUCCAGAGAUGUUCGAUCGGUUCAAGUCCGGGCACUGGCUGGGCCACUCAAGGACAUUCAGAGACUUGUCCCGAAGCCACUACUGCUUUGUCUUGGCUGUGUGCUUAGGGUGGUUGUCCUGUUGGAAGGUGAACCUUUACCCCUGUCUGAGGUCCUAAGCUCUCUGGAACAGGUUUUCAUCAAGGAUCUCUCUGUACUUUGCUCUGUUCAUCCUGACUAGUCUCCCGGUCUCUGUCACUGAAAAACAUCCCGCAGCAUGAUGCUGCCACCACCAUGCUUCACCGUAGGGAUGGUACCAGGUUUCCUCCAGACGUGACGCUUGGCAUUCAGGUCAAAGAGUUCAAUCUUGGUUUCAUCAGACGAGAGAAUCUUGUUUCUCAUGGUCUGAGAGUCUUUAGGUGCCUUUUGGCAAACUACAAGCGGGCUGUCAUGCCUUUUACUGAGGAUUGGCUUCCGUCUGGCCCCUCUACCAUAAAGGCCUGAUUGGUGGAGUGCUGCAGAGAUGGUUGUCCUUCUGGGAGGUUCAACAUCUCCACAGAAGAGCUCUGUCAGAGUGACCAUCGGGUCCUUGGUCACCUCCAUGACCAAGGCCCUUCUCCCCAAUUGCUCAGUCUGACCAGGCGGCCAGCUCUAGGAAGAGUCUUGGUGGUUCUAAACUUCUUCCAUUUAAGAAUGAUGGCCACUUUGUUCUUGAGGACGUUCAAUGCUGCAAAAAUGUUUUGGUACCAUUCCCCAGAUGUGUUGUUUGACACAAUCCUGUCUUGGAGCUCUACUGACAAUUCCUUCGACCUCAUGGCUUGGUUUUUGCUCUGAUAUACAUUGUCAACUGUGGGACCUUAUAUAGACAGGUGUGUGCCUUUCCAAAUCAUGUCGAAUCAAUUGAAUUUACCACAGGUGGCUUCAAACAAGUUGUAGAAACACCUCAAGGAUGAUCAAUGGCAACAGGAUGCACCAGAGCUCAAUUUCAAGUCUCAUAGGGUCUGAAUACUUACGUUUUUUUAUACAUUUGCAAAAAUGUCUAAAAACCUGUUUUUGCUUUGUUAUUUUGGGGUAUUGUGUUUAGAUGGGUUGUUUUAGAACAAGGCUGUAACAUAACAACGUGGAAAAAGUCAAGAGGUCUUACUUUGAUGGAAUUGGGAAAAGACCCCUUCCCUGCUGUCAAAUUACCAAAUGACCUCACUCAUUCUUUGUGAGGAAAUUACUUUUAAUCUUAAAAAAGCAUUCCCCUUUCAAAAAAUGUAGAUCUAAGAACUGAUAUAGCCUUUGGUUCACUCCAGACCUUACUGCCCUCGACCAGCACAAAAAUAUCCUGUGGCGGACUGAACUAGCAUCGAAUAGUCCCCGCGAUAUGCAACUUUUCAGGGAAGUCAGGAACCAAUACACGCAGUCAGUCAGGAUAGCAAAGACUAGCUUUUUCAAACAGAAAUUUGCAUCCUGUAGCUCUAACUCCAAAAAGUUUUGGGACACUGUAAAGUCCAUGGAGAAAAAGAGCAUCUCCUCCCAGCUGCCCAAUGCCAUAAAUGCUCACGAAAUAUACAUUUGACCUUGUCUUGGAGGUUCUCAGAACAUUUGGAACAUGUUAUAUUUCAGUUUGACAUCAUAUUACUGGAAAAGCAUUCCAGGUGAAGCUGGUUGAGAGAAUGCCAAGAGUGUACAAAUCUGUCAUCAAGGCAAAGGGUGGCGACUUUGAAUCAUCUAAAAUCUCAAAUAUAUUUUUGAUUUGUUUAACACUUUUUUGGUUACUACAUGAUUCCAUAUGUGUUAUUUCAUUGUUUGUUUUGAUGUCCUUACUAUUAUUCUACAUUGUAGAACGUUUUGACUGGUACUGUAGGUCAGGCAAAACUUAACAUGGCGGUGUUCAUCUUAGCUAUCUCACUCGAAUAAAGACCUCCUCCAUUCCUGUCA